rnacentral:rRNA from 1 species
CUAAGUUUGAUGGCGACCGGCGCACGGGUGAGUAACACGUAUCCAACCUGCCGAUGACUCGGGGUUAGCCUUUCGAAAGAAAGAUUAAUACCCGAUGGCAUAGUUCUUCCGCAUGGUAGAACUAUUAAAGAAUUUCGGUCAUCGAUGGGGAUGCGUUCCAUUAGGUUGUUGGCGGGGUAACGGCCCACCAAGCCUUCGAUGGAUAGGGGUUCUGAGAGGAAGGUCCCCCACAUUGGAACUGAGACACGGACCAA